rnacentral:rRNA from 1 species
GACGAACGCUGGCGGCGUGCUUAACACAUGCAAGUCGAACGGAAAGGCCCUGCUUUUGUGGGGUGCUCGAGUGGCGAACGGGUGAGUAACACGUGAGUAACCUGCCCUUGACUUUGGGAUAACUUCAGGAAACUGGGGCUAAUACCGGAUAGGAGCUCCUGCUGCAUGGUGGGGGUUGGAAAGUUUCGGCGGUUGGGGAUGGACUCGCGGCUUAUCAGCUUGUUGGUGGGGUAGUGGCUUACCAAGGCUUUGACGGGUAGCCGGCCUGAGAGGGUGACCGGACACAUUGGGACUGAGAUAAGGCCCAGACUCGUACGGGAGGCAGCAGUGGGGAAUAUUGCACAAUGGGCGGAAGCAUGAUGCAGCAACGCAGCGUGCGGGAUGACGGCCUUCGGGUUGGAAACCGCUUUCGCCUGUGACGAAGCGUGAGUGACGGUAAUGGGUAAAGAAGCACCGGCUAACUACGUG